UUGUACUGGCUUGGUAUCAGGACUAAGGGUCAAAUCUGUGGUGUCUCUGUUCUCUAGCAAGUGCUUGGUAUUGUGUAAACAUUUUUCUCAUCUAUGUCCUGUUCUAUAGCUUCACAUGGCUGAUCGAAUAAGACGAGAUGGAGGCCGGGAGAGAAGAGCAUUUCUUCAGGGUCCUCUUGGACAUGGUGGGUAUGGACAAGCUGAAGACGUGGGCUGCAGUGAACCAUGGGGCCAUCGUGCUCUGUUGUGCCGAUGGGAGUGUUGCCGAGGAGAUCAGGGAGGUAUUAAAGGCCUACUACGCUUCAGAACUGUAAAGGAGUGGAAGUUCUGCUGAAGAAACUGGCCUGAUACAGAUACCAUCUCACCAAAAUUGACCCCCUCUGAGACAUUUCACCAACUAUUGUGACCUCACCAACUGGAGUCACAGGUUCUCAUAACUGUCCCCCCCAGUCCUUUGACCUGACCAUCCUGGUAAAAUCCCUACUAUGACAUGAAGAUGGAAAGAAAUACUGAUUUGUACUGCCUUUUGUCAAAUUCAUUUAGGUGUGCUUGUUUGUAAAGCGGUGGAGCAAGUAUUUAAAUGUAAAAGGCACAAAUACUGGCAGUGUUUUUGUAUAAUCUUGUACAACUCAUACCGAUCAGUUACUAGCUGACCCAGGAGCUGGAAUUAACUAAAAGAAAACAUGUUAUUGCAACACAAACUAUACAUUGGCAGAGAAUGUCAGUAAGCAAAUUUCCCCCCAAAAUGUUUCUCAUCUAUAGAAUAUUAACCCUGAUGGUUUGUGUGUCGUCACCUUUAUGCCACGUUAAAUCACCAAGCCGUGGUCCGGUCUGGUAGUCUCCUCAUCUAUGACGGAAGGAAGCCUGCAUUCUCACUAGCAAAUUCAUUUAGUGGGCCCUGCUCAGGUUCCAUCUGUCCUGGUGUCUGAUCCGGACAGACCCAGUCAGACGAAACGGCUUAUUUCUUCCAGAGACCUCACAUUCUUCUAAUCAGUAGAGGAUUAUCAAUGGCUGCCUGUGUGGCUACUAUUUGGGAGGUUUAGGCUCAUGGCAGUAGUCGGACUUGCACUACUUUAGAGAAUUUUGUUGACCAGUGAAGACAAUUUGGGAAUCAAAUCAACAUUGAGAGCUGUGCUGUUAUUUUGAUGAUGCUCUUUUUAGCAAAAGGUCUGAAGUUGAAAUACAGUAUCAAUGUCCAGGUGGCUGGUGAACCUUGUGGGUGACA